rnacentral:rRNA from 1 species
AGUGAACGCUGGCGGUAGGCCUAACACAUGCAAGUCGAACGGCAGCACAGUAAGAGCUUGCUCUUACGGGUGGCGAGUGGCGGACGGGUGAGGAAUACAUCGGAAUCUACUUUUUCGUGGGGGAUAACGUAGGGAAACUUACGCUAAUACCGCAUACGACCUACGGGUGAAAGCAGGGGAUCUUCGGACCUUGCGCGAUUGAAUGAGCCGAUGUCGGAUUAGCUAGUUGGCGGGGUAAAGGCCCACCAAGGCGACGAUCCGUAGCUGGUCUGAGAGGAUGAUCAGCCACACUGGAACUGAGACACGGUCCAGACUCCUACGGGAGGCAGCAGUGGGGAAUAUUGGACAAUGGGCGCAAGCCUGAUCCAGCCAUACCGCGUGGGUGAAGAAGGCCUUCGGGUUGUAAAGCCCUUUUGUUGGGAAAGAAAAGCAGCAGGUGAAUACCCCGCUGUUCUGACGGUACCCAAAGAAUAAGCACGGGCUAACUUCGUG